UAGCUAGCUGUCUGGAUUUACCCUGCAGAGAUCUGAGGAGCAGUUAACCAUAGUCAUCAUAAAGCCACCGGAAUUUAGAACGCCAACACAAAGAAAGAGGAAGGUGGCGGAUAUCCGGCUGAAAAUGAAGGACAUCCGGACUAAAAGACAGAC